rnacentral:rRNA from 1 species
UAUGCCAACUUGACGUUAAAUACAGAAGAAGCACCGGCUAACUCCGUGCCAGCAGCCGCGGUAAUACGGGGGGUGCGAGCGUUAAUCGGAAUAACUGGGCGUAAAGGGCACGUAGGCGGACCUUUAAGUGAGGUGUGAAAUCCCCGGGCUUAACCUGGGAAUUGCAUUUCAUACUGGGGGUCUGGAGUACUUUAGGGAGGGGUAGAAUUCCACGUGUAGCGGUGAAAUGCGUAGAGAUGUGGAGGAAUACCGAAGGCGAAGGCAGCCCCUUGGGGAUGUACUGACGCUGAUGUGCGAAAGCGUGGGGAGCAAACAGGAUUAGAUACCCUGGUAGUCCACGCUGUAAACGGUGUCGAUUUGGGGAUUGGGGUUUAGCCCUGGUGCCCGAAGCUAACGUGAUAAAUCGACCGCCUGGGGAGUACGGCCGCAAGGUUAAAACUCAAAUGAAGGACGGGGUUCCCGCACACACCGUGGAAGUUUAUUAAGCACAACGUGACGUUAAAUAUGCCAACUGAUCGUAGUUA